CAGUGAACGCACAUGAUAUUUUUUCCUGCUCUUGCUUAGAUUUUGGAGGUAUUAUGCUUAAGGACUGAAGGAACAAGCUGGUUUAUGUAUUUGAUUUUUCUUUAUCAGUAGCAAUUACUUAUCCAGACAACACAGGGAUAAUUAAUGUCUCAAAGUAGAUUACAAAGAGUAAUUUUAAUUCUGAAGCGUGUUUUUAAAGUAAUUACAAAGGAUUAAUUUUAAAGUAUUUCUCAUUAAAGGGGAGAGAAAAUAUUACUAGUAUUCACAGUGAAACCUAGGAAACAGGAUUUGAUCUGAAUUCCAAAUCUGUCACUAAGUAAUUUCCUGGCAUAAAAGGUGCCACAGAAUAUGGUUAAUUACUAUCAGAACAUGGACAGAACUACAAACUCAGAAUCUGGCGGCUGCUGGAGCUGCACGCGGUCUGCUGGAGGUCUCCUUGGAGGCCAAUCAGCUCAUUAGGGACGGAACCCAGCCCGUUGACGAGGGAUUUAAACAGCUGCUGGGAGCGCCAGCGACCCGGAGCGGGCAAAGAGGGACACGGUGCUGCAGUUUGCGCGGCGGUCUGUGCAGGAAGGGCAAGCAGGAGGGGCACAGCCACCUCCCAGCUCUCUCAGGGAGAGUAACGAACCCAUUACAAGCCGCUACACGAGAAGUGUAACUGGACUGGUGAAGAACAUGUACCAUGGUGAAGGUAGUCCUGCUUCACUGUUUCAAAACAAAGCCAAAGCACAUUACAGUGCUGUAUGAGCCUGUUUCUCUUAAAUUCACUGCGGUUUCUGCAUUUAAGUGAUGAGAUCAACCUUGGUCCAAUUCUCAUUUUUUUGCUUUGAAGUCACUUAUCUAUGAAUUCAGCAAAUAGCAGUGUCAUUAUUUAGAUCAAACACUUCUCCAGCACACAUGAGGAUCUAGAAAAAACUGCUACAUACCUUCUCCUCUGCCUCUUCACAGAGUAAAACAGGUUACAGUCAAUGCCACAGAAACUGGUAGUGUACUUUUAACAAGCUUUCCCUUCCAGUGGCCUUCACACCUCACUCUUAAGGCCUCGAUUUAAACACAUGACUAACAAUGGAUACACAGUAGAGCUCUGAAUGAGGUUAAAAAAUUCUUCAGUGGUUCUAAGUAUGAUUUUAAUAUGAGAAAAGAACUUGCCCUUUCUUACCAUUAUGCUUUUAAACUUUUGUUUUUCAACUAGUUUUUAGUUGAAUGUACAUUAGUGAAGUUAAGGCCAAACAUGUCUUGCUUACAAGCAACUAUGCAAAAGUCUUACCCGUUAUUUUUCCCAACAUAUUUCCUCAUGUCCCACGAGGGAACUAUUUUAAGGUAGAAAGAGGAGUUAAAACAGCCCUUUACUCUAUUCUGAGUCAAAACAAAUUGCAACAGGUUUUCAGAUUCCAAUGCUGCAGCUUAAACACACCAUGUGCUGAGGAUGGGUCCAUGUUGUCUGGCAAGUCAUGACAAAUUCUAGAGGGUAAAACAAGGUUUAUUUGUUAUGCUACCACUGCUGUUCCUAACCCAGCAGAGGCAAACAUUCCCCCCCCCCCCCCGAAAAACCAACACACUUGUGUUCUUAUACCAGACACAUGAAGUGCUAAAGUUCUACUGGUCCUAUCCAAAUUCCACUGUAAAGCUAAUUAUCAGAUGCAUGCAGUGAGCAUACUCACACAUCAAACUAUAUUCAGCAUUAAUCUGUUGAACUAUGGACUUUAUUCCCUUCCCACCACCAAAAAAAAAAGCUUUGUUAGACAAGACAGUUGUAUUGAAUUCACUUCCUUUUAUUGCAGUGACAUCCCCCAGUACAAAGUUUUAACUGCAAUAAUUACGUUAAAACAUUAGAAAAGCAUUUGUGUGACAGUUACAGUACAGUGUCAAAUCUUACAUCUUCAAACCAAGUGGGCCAUGACCCACUGAACGCUCAAAUCCUUUAAAUUAUUUUCAGUUAUUUUUAAAUAUGCAAUGUCAGAAAAAGCAUAUAAAAAGAAUGUAUGUAAAAGGAAACCUAAAUACAGUGAGCAAAUAAAUAAUUGAUUUUUGCCAGCUAUUACUAUCUUUCUAAGCCCAUACCAAGGAACCUAAUCUACAGAAGGUAUGAAUUGCCAUGUGUAAGCGAUUUGAUUUUCCACGUAAUUAAUGAUGAUUGGAACAUAAGUAAAUUUGGCGUCAAAAUCAAAGCAGAAGUUGGAGUGACUGCUGCUAACUGAUAUCUGUUGCAAAUAAUUACCAUUAAUUGUUCAAAUUUUAGUGAGCAAAUGAUCUUGAAAAACUUGGCCUCCUGCCCAGCAUUAGUGAACUCCUGAGAGUGCAUGUGAAAAGCAUUCUAUCUUAUUUUGCAGACAUUACCUUAACUAUCCCCAUAUGCAUAUUUAGAUAUAUUUUAUAUAAUUUUAUACACAUAUAUGCAUGUACACACACACACACUUCAUUUGGUUUCUGUGUUGUGUUACAGAUCACAAGCAAUGGUUUCGUGAAUGGGCAAAUAAACGCCUUAAAUAAGUGUACCUGUGCAUGUUUGUUUUUUAAGAUAGCAGCACUAAGUCCAUGCCAUACUGUCCAUCUGUUCAAAAGAAUGUUUCCCACAAACCAACAAGAAACAUGGCAAUGAUUCUAUAUGCACAAUGUGACAACCUCAUCUCCUAAAAGAACACUGUAAAACCUGUGACAGAUAUGUUGGUAAAUUUGAUCCAAACUCCAUCACCUGGAAGGAAACACCACUUUUACUGCAAACUGUCUUUGUCUUACAAUGUUUAUCAUAACAAGCUGGGUUCAUGCUGGCAUCAGUUAUCUCACACUUAGCAGCAAAACAUGCAUGUUUGUUUUUCUUAAGUUUUUCAAAGUGAAAUGAUUCAGUAAUAGUUUCAAAUCCAAAUGACAGAAACAGCAAAAAAACCCCAAUAAACAAAAAGCCAAACCAAACCAACCAAACAAAAAAGACUUUUUGCAGUUCACCAAGAACUUGACAACAGUGUAUACUGCACAGUGUAGAAUAUUUUAAUCUUUAAUCACAAGUUGAAGCUCUACCUUGCCACACAAUGAUUAUGCUUUGUCCUUCAAAAGGAACAGUUACAUUUCAAUUUGAUCCUGCAUUUAGCAAAACAAACAAACAAAAAACCCACAAAACACCUUUUCUGUGCAUCCUUAAAUGAAAGUCACUCACCCACUGGUAAACUGAUCCAGUAGCAUGUCCAAUAAUAAUAUCAAAAACUUGUGAAAUGUUUUUAGGCAAUCCUUUCUAUCCAAAAUAUAUUAGGAAUUUAAAAAACAGUUCACAUUACUAACCUUUAUAUAAAGGCUCAAGUGAAAUUUCUUUUGCAGGUGUUCAUAGUAGACUAAAUUAUGAAGUUUUCAAAAUAUACAAUGAAAGGGCACACAAGACUGGCAGUUUUUUUAGUGAACAUAGAAAAUGUAUAAAGUAAGAUGUAUGGAAUAGAUCAAAAUAGCUGGACAAUCAAACCUGAGUAUUAUUUAAUAAGACUAAAUGUAUUUUCUGACAACUGAACAAAUUGACCUAAAACAUCUCCCCUAAUAACUAGUGGUCCUUUUAACCAUUUGUUGAAAAAUGCGAGAGAACUGCAGCUUUUACAUUUCAUAUUGGAUAGCACAAUUCCACAUAGUGUUUACUGUUUUCUGUUAGAUAGCAUCACAUUGCUUCUAUUAUCCCCAUUCAAGCCUUAAGUUGA